UACGUAGGGUGCAAGCGUUGUCCGGAAUUAUUGGGCGUAAAGAGCUCGUAGGCGGUUUGUCGCGUCUGCUGUGAAAACGCGAGGCUCAACCUCGCGCCUGCAGUGGGUACGGGCAGACUAGAGUGCGGUAGGGGAGAUUGGAAUUCCUGGUGUAGCGGUGGAAUGCGCAGAUAUCAGGAGGAACACCGGUGGCGAAGGCGGGUCUCUGGGCCAUAACUGACGCUGAGGAGCGAAAGCGUGGGGAGCAAACAGG
rnacentral:rRNA from 1 species